rnacentral:rRNA from 1 species
CAACUUUCAACAACGGAUCUCUUGGCUCUCGCAUCGAUGAAGAACGCAGCGAAAUGCGAUAAGUAAUGUGAAUUGCAGAAUUCAGUGAAUCAUCGAAUCUUUGAACGCACCUUGCGCCCUUUGGCAUUCCGAAGGGCACGCCUGUUUGAGUGUCGUGA